rfam:Nematostella vectensis strain CH2 x CH6 NEMVEscaffold_605_Cont30731, whole genome shotgun sequence.
CCUUCGAUACUCAAUUGGUAGAGCGGGGGACUGUAGAUUUAUAAUUGUGAUCCCUAGGUCGCUGGUUCGAAUCCGGCUCAAAGGA